rnacentral:rRNA from 1 species
UACGUAGGGUGCAAGCGUUAAUCGGAAUUACUGGGCGUAAAGCGUACGCAGGCGGCUAUGUAAGACAGGUGUGAAAUCCCCGGGCCUAACCUGGGAACUGCAUUUGUGACUGCAUAGCUAGAGUCCGUCAGAGGGGGGUGGAAUUCCACGUGUAGCAGUGAAAUGCGUAGAGAUGUGGAGGAACACCGAUGGCGAAGGCAGCCCCCUGGGAUGAGACUGACGCUCAUGUACGAAGGCGUGGGGAGCAAACAGG